AUUGAACGCUGGCGGCAUGCCUUACACAUGCAAGUCGAACGGUAACAGGUUAAGCUGACGAGUGGCGAACGGGUGAGUAAUGUAUCGGAACGUGCCCAGUCGUGGGGGAUAACUGCUCGAAAGAGCAGCUAAUACCGCAUACGACCUGAGGGUGAAAGCGGGGGAUCGCAAGACCUCGCGCGAUUGGAGCGGCCGAUAUCAGAUUAGGUAGUUGGUGAGGUAAAGGCUCACCAAGCCGACGAUCUGUAGCUGGUCUGAGAGGACGACCAGCCACACUGGGACUGAGACACGGCCCAGACUCCUACGGGAGGCAGCAGUGGGGAAUUUUGGACAAUGGGCGCAAGCCUGAUCCAGCCAUGCCGCGUGCGGGAAGAAGGCCUUCGGGUUGUAAACCGCUUUUGUCAGGGAAGAAAAGGUUCUGACUAAUACCUGGGACUCAUGACGGUACCUGAAGAAUAAGCACCGGCUAACUACGUG
rnacentral:rRNA from 1 species